UACGGAGGGUGCAAGCGUUAAUCGGAAUUACUGGGCGUAAAGCGCACGCAGGUGGCUGAGUCAGUCGAUUGUGAAAGCCCUGGGCUUAACCUGGGAAUUGCAGUCGAUACUACUCAGCUAGAGUAUGGGAGAGGGCAGUGGAAUUCCCGGUGUAGCAGUGAAAUGCGUAGAUAUCAGGAGGAACACCGAUGGCGAAGGCAGGUCUCUGGGCUGACACUGACGCUCAUGCACGAAAGCGUGGGGAGCAAACAGG
rnacentral:rRNA from 1 species